CCUACGGGAGGCAGCAGUGAGGAAUAUUGGUCAAUGGACGCAAGUCUGAACCAGCCAUGCCGCGUGCAGGAAGACGGCUCUAUGAGUUGUAAACUGCUUUUGUACGAGGGUAAACGCAGAUACGCGUAUCUGUCUGAAAGUAUCGUACGAAUAAGGAUCGGCUAACUCCGUGCCAGCAGCCGCGGUAAUACGGAGGAUUCAAGCGUUAUCCGGAUUUAUUGGGUUUAAAGGGUGCGUAGGCGGUCGGGUAAGUUAGAGGUGAAAACCCGAGGCUCAACUUCGGAAUUGCCUGUGAUACUGUUCGGCUAGAGAGUAGUUGCGGUAGGCGGAAUGUAUGGUGUAGCGGUGAAAUGCUUAGAGAUCAUACAGAACACCGAUUGCGAAGGCAGCUUACCAAGCUACUUCUGACGUUGAGGCACGAAAGCGUGGGGAGCAAACAGGAUUAGAUACCCCUGUAGUC
rnacentral:rRNA from 1 species